AGAGAGAGAGAGAGAGAGAGAGAGAGAGAUCCUUACAAACAACUCACGGCAUCCAGGGCGGCUGCCUGCGGAAGUGGGCGCGUAGACGCAGUGGUGACGUGACGCACAGGUAAAGCAGUUAAAAAAAAAAAAACUAUAGAAGUGGCACAGAGGGCAGCCCAAGCCAAGAUAUGACCCCAGCAGAGGGGAGGCCAGUGAUGGAGGGGAUCCAGGGAAGGACGGUAACCGACUCUGUCCCAGCCACAGAAACUGUCCGCUUCAUACAAGGGGGAAGGCACCUCUGCAGCUGCAGAAUGCACUUCUGAAGAUGAGAAGACUGUGUCACUGGACUCCAGAAGGCUUGAGGACCCAGAUGCUGCACAGUCCCCUAAGCAGCCUGGUAACAUUACUUCACAAACUGUCAGAAAACUGUAUGCUAAGCACCUGGAGAAACAGAUAGAGCUAGCAGACAUUAAAAUCAAAUUAAAGAAGAGAAAGCUCCAAGAAAUGGAACUGGAGCUUGAGUUUAAUCGCCAAACACUGAGGAGACUGGACCUAGAAAUCAAGAAACUAGAAAGAGGAGAUCCAAGCAACCAAGAAAAAUGACAAUGCCAAUAAAAAAA